rnacentral:siRNA from 1 species
UACGCUGAUUAGGGCACGCCUU